UGGGGAAUAUUGCACAAUGGGCGCAAGCCUGAUGCAGCAACGCCGCGUGAGUGAAGAAGGAUUUCGGUUCGUAAAACUCUGUUGUUAGGGAAGAAAAAAUGUAUAGUAACUAUACACAAAAGAGACGGUACCUAACUAGAAAGCCACGGCUAACUACGUGCCAGCAUCCGCGGUAAUACGUAGGUGGCAUGCGUUGUUCGGAAUUAUUGGGCGUAAAGCGCGCGCAGGUGGUUCAGAAAGUCUGAUGUGAAAGCCCACGGCUCAGCCGUGGAGGGUCAUUGGAAACUAAUAAACUUGAGUGCAGGAGAGAAGAGUGGAAUUCCUAGUGUGGCAGUGAAAUGCGUAGAGAUUAGGAGGAACACCGGUGGCGAAAGCGGCUUUUUGGCCUGCAACUGACGCUGAGGCGCGAAAGCGUGGGGAGCAAGCAGG
rnacentral:rRNA from 1 species